ncrna:unclassified sequences nadA RNA
GCUUUCAACAACCCCGUUCCAACGCGAGCUGAGACGAAGCAUUUUUGUCGGCGAGUUAUUGGAGCUGGAAGC